CCUUCCCAGCAAUACCCAAUUCCCUACCAUCAACUUCCACGAUGAUUAAAAAGCCAUAACAAAAAGAAUGAUGUGGGUUUCUAAACCUUCACCCCAAGAGUAAUAGAGUAAACCUGUGCUAUAUACAUUGGUAAAUUGUAACUUCUAAAUUAUAAUUACCAAGCCUUAUCUUAGUCUUUGGUAUGUGUUUCUGCUUGCUCUUUAAUAUCAUCUGCUAAUGGAGUUUUGAUCUGCCUGUUCCUCUGUCUGAUCCACCUCCUGCACCUUCACACUAUCUUCAUAUGGA
rnacentral:misc_RNA from 1 species